GACAAUGGGCGAAAGCCUGAUCCAGCCAUGCCGCGUGCAGGAUGACUGCCCUAUGGGUUGUAAACUGCUUUUAUAUAGGAAGAAAAACUUUCUCGUGAGAAAGCUUGACGGUACUAUAAGAAUAAGGAUCGGCUAACUCCGUGCCAGCAGCCGCGGUAAUACGGAGGAUCCAAGCGUUAUCCGGAAUCAUUGGGUUUAAAGGGUCCGUAGGUGGACAGAUAAGUCAGAGGUGAAAUCCUGCAGCUCAACUGUAGAACUGCCUUUGAUACUGUUUGUCUUGAGUUAUUGUGAAGUGGUUAGAAUGUGUAGUGUAGCGGUGAAAUGCAUAGAUAUUACACAGAAUACCGAUUGCGAAGGCAGAUCACUAAUAAUGUAUUGACGCUGAUGGACGAAAGCGUGGGGAGCGAACAGGAUUAGAUACCCUGGUAGUCCACGCCGUAAACGAUGGUUACUAGCUGUCCGGCCUAAUUGAGGGCUGGGUGGCCAAGCGAAAGUGAUAAGUAACCCACCUGGGGAGUACGUUCGCAAGAAUGAAACUCAAAGGAAUUGACGGGGGUCCGCACAAGCGGUGGAACAUGUGGUUUAAUUCGAUAAUACGCGAGGAACCUUACC
rnacentral:rRNA from 1 species